rnacentral:rRNA from 1 species
GCCAGAACUUAACUACCCUAAAGGCACUAAAUCCCAUCUGAUCUUGGAAGUUCAGCAGGAUUGGUUCUGGUUAGUAUUGAGAUCGGAGACCACCAACAAAUACCAAGUACCACUGGCU